UUGGGAAGAAAGAAGAAAGGAGGAGGGCCAAAGUAAAAAAAAAAGACAGAACAGAGGAGGGGAUCAAAAAUCCCUAGCGCAGCCGAUCCCCAUCGGGCCUGGCUCAUCUCUCUCUCUCCCUCACCCAUCCUUCUCCACCUCCGGCCGCCGCCACGGCCAGGCCGGCAUGGUGGUGCGCCUCCCACCUCAUCACCCAUCUCCAUCCACCACUCCACCAUCACCUCCAUCCAUCAGCGCUGUGCCACCCAGCACCUCCACCACGCACCACCAGCACCACUCCACAUCCACCUCACGCAACUCACCAGACAGAGGGCCGGCGGUGUCUGAUCCAUCGCGCGCCGAUGCUGGUGCCUCCUUCUUCAACCUGCUGCUUCUUCUUCCUCACCUCCGCUGCUGCUGUCCCUGCUCUUCUUGCGCUCAUGUUGCUGCUCCUCUGAACCCCUCGUACUUCUGCUCCUAAUCUUCUCCAACUUGCUGCUGCUCUGCUUACUCUAUCUCCUUGCACCGCUGCUGCUGCUUCUCCCGCGCGCCCCAACCUGCUGCUGCUCUUCCCCCACGAAUCUGCUACAACUCCACUCUCCAGCGCCUCCUUUGCUGAUUCUUUGCUCUGAACCUCAAGUUGCUACUGCUUCUUCUUCUCACGUCACGGCUGCUGCUCUUCUUUUCUUUCCCCUACUGUUGCUCCUUCUCUGAACCUCACGCGCUGCUCCAUCUCCUAAACGCUGCUGCUUCUUCCUUGGCCUCCUGCUCUGCUCCUAAUCUGAACCAUAAAUUGCUGCUACUCCCCUUCAUUCUCUAAAUUUCUGUAGACUUGAGAUCAUAUGUAAUAUUCAUAUUUGGCUAGUGCUUGAAACUUGCUAUUGGUUCAGAUUUGUAACUGUAUAAUAAUGCUAUGACAUGUUCAGUUUCAGACUGGUGAUUGUUUAGUACUGUAGUACUGUUUUUGUUCAUCGGAGAGUAUUAGAACAGUGCCCUAUAAUACCAUAUUCAUAUUUGUGUGUGUGUGUGUGUGUGUGUGAAAUAUAUUAAUUAUGUACUGCACUUGCUACUGAUUAGUGUCCACUUUACUGUAGACUGUUGCUCAAGUUCCUAUGAUAUAUAUCAUGUUUGACAGUUUAGUCCUCUAGUUAUUGUUGCACUGAUUUAUGUCAAGAAGAUUUGGCUAGUGUGAUGUGAGUCCAGUACAUGUGCUUUAUAAUCCUGUUUGUAACCGGUGUUCAUUUUGUAGUCCCAGUGAUAUAUCUUGUACCUUGUGCUAGCUAUGAACCUGUGAUAUAUAUAUGUGUGUGUUAUGUUCAUGUCCUUUUACUUCUCUUGUCAUUGAUGAUAGCUUUUGUUAGUAUCUUAAUUUCUCAAGCAUUACGAAAAUACCAAAAAGAUUGUUGAAGAUAAUUUGAACCUUCCUUGCUACUGUGUUAUUUUCUUUAUUGUCAACUUUGGUUAGUUUAGGUCUAUAUUUCCUUGCAAUCAUCAUCUAAAUUCUAUUACCUAGCUUUAGCCGAGUAUAGUUGACGUCGCCUAGUCCCUGAGGAGAACACAACACUCACAGUUUGGGCGUAAAAACCCCACUGCACCUACUAUGAUCAUUUUGGCGCCGUUGCCGGGGAGUAGCGUCGAGAGAUUUUGUUAGGCCAUAGACUAGGUUUUUCUUGUUUUUCCCUUUGUGCUAUAUAUUUGUGAUAUAUCUCUAGCCACUAACACCUGUUUUAGUUAGUAUCUUUUUGUCUUCUUUUCCUUUUUGCAGUUGGAUUAUCCUCUCGGUUAUGGCUUACUAUUCAGAUCAUCAGGCUUACGCGAGCAACACUACAAACAGCACGGAAAGUGUUCAAGAACUGAUAGGUAAGAUUUCCCAUCGAUUAGAUGAUUUAGCUCGGCAGCGAGAAGGAGUUUUUGAGGAUAGGCCUAGUUCGUACGAUCCUUAUUCCAGAGGCCAUCCUUAUGUUGCUCCUACUUGCCAUAUUUGUGGAUUUCAGGGCCAUUCGCCCGCUGAAUGUCAGCGUGGCUACUCUCACACUCCGGAUUGUUUUGGCAUGAGCUUCACUCAAGAGCAUAGCUCAUACCAAAACAAUUACUCACAUGGGUGGCCUGAAAUCCCGAAUAUGUCAUAUAGGAGCAACAACACUGAGAUCUCACAGUUUGGUUCUAGUAAUCAUAUGCAGGGAUUCAAGUACAAUGAGGAGAACCACAACUAUGCUCCACAACAGAUUUAUUCACCUCCUACUCAUAUACCUCAAUACCAGGAGAUGUGUCCAAUGGAGUUAAAUGGUCCUCCAUUUCGUCAACCAACAACUCCAGCACCUUUCGAGCAAAGAUGAGUUUGAUGACAUAGACAAGCUCACACUUUUGAGUCUCGAGUUCACUUGGAGUGCCGAGGAUGAUCCUAUUAGGAAGGUUAUACUAGAGGAAAUGAAGAAGAUUAAGAGUGGAAAGGAGCUAGUGGAAGAAGUAAGGAAGAUUGAGAAGAACAUCAAUGCUGGCAGCACUAUUUCUUCACAACUUGAGUUGAGUGUGGCUGAGAUAUCCAUGGAUACAUGUGAGGUUCCAACACCUUCACAUUUCGUUGAGCAAGUUAGCAAGUGCCUUGAGCAAGAGAUACCUCAGAUUGAAGAAGAUGAACUAGAAGACAAGGAACAAGAUGGUCAAGAGCUGCAAUUCCCAAGUGAUCAAGUUGAAGACUCAUCAUCUAUUACUCCUGAAGAAGUACAAGAAGCUGCUGUAGAUGAAGAUGAAGAACAUGAGAUUCAUUUGCCUAUUGUCAUACCAGAGUGUGAUGUGUCAGGUUUACUCAAUCCUCUUGAUGACAUGAUGCCUUGUGAUUUCUUUGCUACCACCUUGCAUUACAUGAUACCAUCACUUAAGAUUGAUUUGAAAACUCAUUUGCUUGGAUAUGAUGAUAUAUACCGUGUUAGUGGAAUUGCUCUCAUUUGUGAUGAUCACAAUUACUUUCCUCAUGCUAGUCUUGAGCUUAAUGAUAAAUGUCAUCCUCGUGUGAGUAUUGACCAUGCUGAUUUCUGCCAUCCUAAACAUGUGCUUUAUAGUUAUGCUUAUAUAAUUGGAUAUUCCAUUGAUGACUUGGAGGGCAUCGACCGUAUCACUUGUAGUUGUUUGUGUGAGUCCUAUUUCAGGCUUUUGCUACUACACUGUUUACUACAUGCUGACCAGGUUCGAGGUGACAUUCCUUGGGAUCCUGGUGGAGUCAGAGCAUGGCGAUGAGGGGAGCACAAACAGGGAACACAAACAGAGAAGAGUGGAGAGAAGAAAGUAGGAGAGAAGAGUAUACAAAUACCAGGUGAUUCUGUUCCACUUGAAGCAACCUUUAGAAAAUUUAGUACGAGAACUGGCAUUUUAUUGCAUUGAAACACUUUUUGCAUUGUGACACCUUACUCUUCACUGCAAAGUAGGAUUCACUCCAAGAAGAUUGUUGAUUCUCUUAAUACUAAAACUAUGCAGCUGUAUUCUUCUUAUGGUAAUUUGUGAUAAUGAAUACUUUAUACCUCCAUGUAAAUGUUCAAUGGGAAUGCGUUGAGUCUAAGUGAAACCUACUAAUGAAUUGAUGUGCUGUGUCUGACUGUCCGAAGUUAAGCUAAGUAACUGGUGGCACUUAAGUAGUAGCUAUGAUCUCUGGAUCUGUAGUAUGUGAAAAACAGUGCCAUUAGCUAUGGAUUCCUCUUUCAAUUAUUCCUAUUUUACUUAAGCUAAGUAAUUUUCAAAUAACUAUAUAAAAUAAUUAUAAUAAUUUAAGUCCGAUCGACCUAUAGUAGCAUGUCAUGUUCCCUGGAUCGGUGGCUUGUGAAAUCUGGUAGAUUGGACUGUAAAAAAAUUUAUAUAAAAAAUGCUAUAAUUUGUCGAACCAGGUGUAUACCAUGUUCUCGGGAUCGGUGGUAUGUUCCUUAGGGGAGAUAAUAACAAAAAAAUAUGCUAAUAAUUUGUCGAACCAGGUGUAUACCAUGUUCUCGGGAUCAGUCGUAUGUUCCUUUGGGGAGAUAACAAAAAAAAUAUACUAAUAAUUUGGUCGAGCCAGGUGUAUACCAUGUUCUCGGGAUCGGUGGUAUGUUCCUUUGGUGAGACUGAUAUAAUAUCAUCACUUGUGCUUUAAAUUCAAUAAGUAACUUGUUUUUCUAAUUGAUUUUGGGGUCCCAGCUUAUCUCAGGGCUGAAGACAGAGCCAGCUCUUGAUUAUUAGUAUUCACUUUGACUCAAGGCCAUUGACUUGGAACAUUUACAGUGUGUUAUAAAAUAUUUCUUAUCACAAUUUAGCUUUAGUAGAGUACAUUUGCUUAGUUCCAGUAUUGUCGGAAUUACUAUCUAUCGGAAAGUGCAUCUUUACUAGGCAGUGUGAGUUGUGUCACCAUCAAUUUUUUUUCCUUUGCUUGAGGACAAGCAAAGAUUUAAGUGUGGGGGAACUUGAUAAGCACAUUUCUUAUAUACUAUUUGGGCACACAAAUUCACCUUUUAUUGAGAUAUAUCCAUCCAUUCUUGCUAUGACUUGUUGAAUAUUCGAAUGAUAAUCAUAAAAGAGAAUGUUGACUAGUGAAUUGUUUAUUUUGCAGAAGAGUGCGCAAAGGCACUAUAAUCGUCAAGACUUCUACUAUGUGGCUAACGAGAAGAGAGAAGGGCAUGAAAGAAAUACGUCAAGGCUUGAGCGUGAAGGAAAGAAGUAAUGUAGGGGAGCAAACUAAAAGAAGAGGAGGAUCUUCUUGGGAAGAGAGAAGAAAGGAGGAGGGCCAAAGUAAAAAAAAGACACAACAGAGGAGGGGAUCAAAAAUCCCUAGCGCAGCCGAUCCCCAUCGGGCCUGGCUCAUCUCUCUCUCUCCCUCACCCCUCCUUCUCCACCUCCGGCCGCCACCACGGCCAGGCCGGCGUGUUGGUGCGCCUCCCACCUCAUCACCCAUCUCCAUCCACCACUCCACCAUCACCUCCAUCCAUCAGCGCCGUGCCACCCAGCACCUCCACCAUGCACCACCAGCACCACUCCAGAUCCACCUCACGCAACUCACCAGACAGAGGGUCGGCGGUGUCUGAUCCAUCGCGCGCCCGAUGCUGGUGCCUCCUUCUUCAACCUGCUGCUUCUUCUUCCUCACCUCCGCUGCUGUUGCUCCUGCUCUUCUUGCGCUCAUGUUGCUGCUCCUCUGAACCCCUCGUACUGCUGCUCCUAAUCUUCUCCAACUUGCUGCUGCUCUGCUUACUCUAUCUCCUUGCACCGCUGCUGCUGCUUCUCCCGCGCGCCCCAACCUGCUGCUGCUCUUCCCCCACGAAUCUGCUACAGCUCCACUCUCUAGGGCCUCCUUUGCUGAUUCUUUGCUCUGAACCUCAAGUUGCUACUGCUUCUUCUUCUCACGUCACUGCUACUGCUCUUCUUUUCUUUCCCCUACUGUUGCUCCUUCUCUGAACCUCACGAUGCUGCUCCAUCUCCUAAACGCUGCUGCUUCUUCCUUGGCCUCCUGCUCUGCUCCUAAUCUGAACCAUAAAUUGCUGCUACUCCCCUUCAUUCUCUAAAUUUCUGUAGACUUGAGAUCAUAUGUAAUAUUCAUAUUUGGCUAGUGCUUGAAACUUGCUAUUGGUUCAGAUUUGUAACUGUAUAAUAAUGCUAUGACAUGUUCAGUUUUAGACUGGUGAUUGUUUAGUACUGUAGUACUGUUUUUGUUCAUCGGAGAGUAUUAGAACAGUGCCCUGUAAUACCAUGUUCUUAUUUGUGUGUGUGUGUGUGUGUGAAAUAUAUUAAUUAUGUACUGCACUUGCUACUGAUUAGUGUCCAGUUUACUGUAGACUGUUGCUCAAGUUCCUGUGAUAUAUAUCAUGUUUGACAGUUUAGUCUUCUAGUUAUUGUUGCACUGAUUUAUGUCAAGAAGAUUUGGCUAGUGUGAUGUGAGUCCAGUACAUGUGCUUUAUAAUCCUGUUUGUAACCGGUGUUCAUUUUGUAGUCCCAGUGAUAUAUCUUGUACCUUGUGCUAGCUAUGAACCUGUGAUAUAUAUGUGUGUGUUAUGUUCAUGUCCUUUUACUUCUCUUGUCAUUGAUGAUAGCUUUUGUUAGUAUCUUAAUUUCUCAAGCAUUACGAAAAUACCAAAAAGAUUGUUGAAGAUAAUUUGAACCUUCCUU
rnacentral:lncRNA from 1 species